rnacentral:rRNA from 1 species
GAUGAACGCUGGCGGCGUGCCUAAUACAUGCGAGUCGAGCGAACGGACGAGAAGCUUGCUUCUCUGAUGUUAGCGGCGGACGGGUGAGUAACACGUGGAUAACCUACCUAUAAGACUGGGAUAACUUCGGGAAACCGGAGCUAAUACCGGAUGAUAUUUUGAACCGCAUGGUUCAAAAGUGAAAGACGGUCUUGCUGUCACUUAUAGAUGGAUCCGCGCUGCAUUAGCUAGUUGGUAAGGUAACGGCUUACCAAGGCAACGAUGCAUAGCCGACCUGAGAGGGUGAUCGGCCACACUGGAACUGAGACACGGUCCAGACUCCUACGGGAGGCAGCAGUAGGGAAUCUUCCGCAAUGGGCGAAAGCCUGACGGAGCAACGCCGCGUGAGUGAUGAAGGUCUUCGGAUCGUAAAACUCUGUUAUUAGGGAAAAACAUAUGUGUAAGUAACUGUGCACAUCUUGACGGUACCUAAUCAGAAAGCCACGGCUAACUACGUG